UGUAAUGCGAUAUAUAUUUUAGCAUUACUUUUUUACACGCGAAAAAACAUUUGAAUCAAAUAUUUGAUCUGCCGUCUUCCUCAGAUGAAGAGGAUGAUGACACAAUCUUUGCGAGAGGGAUGGUAUCUGAUUUCAUUGGUCCUCAACUCAUGGCUCAGACACUUCAUUCAGGAUAAAUGGAGUUAGCCCUGAGUUAGCCUGCCCGGAUCAGGUUAGUUCUGAAGGAUUCAUUGUCAUAGAAAUGUACCUGGCUAAAUGGUGAGCCACCUUCGUGGUACCGGUUAUCCCAAGUUGAACUCAGAGAUGACAAAAGUUACCUCGCUAAGUCCUCAAACCUGAUUCCUUGCAGAGGGCUCUGUCUAUAUCAGCUCUAAACACACAGAGUGGAGAUGUGCGGCGAUGGCAGGCGACGUGUGGUCACAAUGUUAAUGGCAGUGUAGGGUUGCAUAAACACACCCACAAACUGAAGCAACAAUUUUCCCUGGCAGACCAUGUAGUCAUGAAAAUGUUUGCAUCUGUCUUUCUGGUACAGAAUGAUUAUAGUCAUCAUAUAGGUAAUAUUGUCACAAUCGACUACUUUUUAGAGCAAGUCAUUGGUCUCCUCUAUGGAGAGGCAGUGUAUAUGUUUUUGGUGUAAUAGUCCUAUAUCCUAAUGCACAGCAACCUCAACAUGUUGGGGUGGAUUGGCAAAAUGCUCCACUGCAGCUUGUAACGGUAUAUUUUUCUGGUUUCUGUUUUUAAUGUCAGUGAAACUUCACAUUGCUAUGAAAUGGUUCAAUAGAAGCCACAGAUGUAUAGCUUUGGUGGGUGGGGAAAAUCUAUAGUAACUUUUGUGGCUUUCUCCAACCUCAUUUGGUGCGUGGGCCUCUGUCUGAGGCGAUAUGUCAAAAAUGGUUUUGGUUCAUAGUACUGACAGACAGAGCAAAUGCUGGGAGCAGUUUGAAUGUGGUGUUUAACAGUCGGGUCUUUAAUAGAAUUGACGUUUUUAAAAGGCUAUUUUAAUUCUAAGCGUCCUUUUAAUACAGCGUGGUCAUAUACACACUACCUGUUUUUCUGGGUCGGCGACAUUCACAUUUGUUAGGACAUCCAAAUAUAGAAACUGGAGAGAGAAGCAUCAUGCUGAUUUGCAGUUUUAGGCAACCAGAAAUGACAUAGAACACUCUGUAUUUUUUAAUACGCACCACCACAAAGUAUAUGGUAGGCUAGUGUCUUUGAUAACUGUCUCCAUGCCUGAUCGCUCCCCGUCUCUAGCAGAUAGGAAACUGUUUCAUUUAAGCAGCAGAGAGACUUUGCUUUCAUUCUUCCGUCUUGUGUAAAAAAAAAACAUGUCUUCGGGAGGUAGCUACCAACCAGGACAGUGGAACAAAAGGCAUUACUUAUUGGAACCUGACUCUAUGGGUUACAAUUCUGUGUGUUUAUCUCAGUUUGUUUGUUUAUGUGUGAGGCCGAGUGCCUAUAUUCCUAGUCUUUUGUAUUUAUUAACUCUCCUCACAUCAUGCCAUGUGCUUUUAUCGUGAAUUUUGACUGUUGCCUCUCAAGUGAGAUUUAGAAAUGGAGAGACCGUUUAGACAGUAUAUUUCCUUCAUAUCUAAUGGACUGUACCUGUCUUCUACCUGUCGGUUCUGUUGUCCGUCUGUAGGUAAGCUCCACCUGGCCUCUUAAGAUGGGCCGUAUUGAGAAGAGUGCGGAGGCCCACAAAGGAGCUGUGUUAGCCAGGAGAUGGAACUACGACGAGACCGCUCUCAUCACAGCUGGGGAGGACGGGCAAGUCAAGAUCUGGUCUAAGAGUGGCAUGCUGAGGUCCACCUUGGCCAGGGUCUCCUGUAUACUCGGUGGCCUGGAGCCCGGACUCUGAUAGGAUCCUGUACACGUCAGGCAGACUGCUGAUAAUCAGGCCCCUGCAACCCAGCGCCAAGGUCCAACAGGUACUUGGAAGUCCCAUGAUGGGUCCAUUCUGAAGACUGACUGGAACUCUGUGAAUGACCUGAUACUGUCAAGUGGAGAGGACUGUAAAUACAAGGUGUGGAACAGCUAUGGUCGUCUGCUCUACACGUCCUCGUCACAUGACUACCCUGUGACCUCCAUGUCCUGGUCUCCGGAUGGGGAGGUGUUCGCAGUGGACUCCUUCAACAGCCUGCAUCUCUGUGACAAGCCCGGGAGUGCGGAGGCCUUCAGGAGGGGGAGACCUGGGAGAUGGGGGACAUGCCACCCUGCCGAUUAGCGUGCUGUGAGGAGAAGCAGGCCUGUCUGCAGCGGUCAGUGCAGACAUAUUUAAUGCGUCUGAUGUAAUGGGGCUGAAUCAGCAGAUAGCUCCGCUGGGAGCCAUUAGCCCAAACAUGUGUCAUUAACCCCUUCCCUGCCCCAGACCAGUCCAGUCCCCUUUGCAGUCCCAGCCAAGUCCUCCCUACAGCCCCCAGCCCAAAGUUCUGCUCCAGGUGGAGAGAACUCAGGGCAAGGGUGAAGGGAGGACCGAUCUGUUAUUUAAAAUCACCAUCUUUCUCUUUAUCUAUUAGAGAGAAGUUUGCCUCUCUGGCUGGUGCUGUAGUGAGGAUGGGGGAUUUGAGGAGUUACCGCCUCCAUGUCUUUGAGAUCAGUUUGAAGUAUUUUUCCCUGCAGCUCGCUGUGGCACGUUACAGCAGUAGGGAGAAGCGGCAGGCUCACAGCACCUGCCAAUCUUAAUGGCAAACGUAUGUGCAGUGAAACGGAGGGCGGGAGCAAAUGUUCCCUAAAGAGGGCGGCAAUGUUGUCUGACUGGUCUGUUGUCUGUGUGUGUAAGAGAGAGGGGGCUUGUGUUUGAGUGAGUGACUGAGUUUAUCUUCCUGUGUGUGUCUCUGUUGAAGUGUGUUUCUUUGUAUGUAUGCCUGCGUGUGUAGGUGGUUGCAUGAUGGAACCCAUAGUCUGUGGAACAUCGCUUGAGUUUGAACUUACAAGAAAGAGGGAUCCAGACAAUGAAAAGACAAGGGGGAGGGGACAAUGUGCUACUUUCACAAAUGAUAGCGGUCAGUGACGUUAAAGAGGGAAAGAACAAGUCAGUAGAACAAGUCAGUGACGUUAUUAAAGAGGGAAAUAACAAGUCAGUAGAACAAGUCAGUGAUGUUA